UACGUAGGGGGCAAGCGUUGUCCGGAAUCAUUGGGCGUAAAGCGCGUGUAGGCGGCCAGAAAAGUCCGCUGUGAAAACUCGAGGCUCAACUUCGAGCUGUCGGUGGAAACUUUCUGGCUAGAGUCCGGAAGAGGAGAAUGGAAUUCCUGGUGUAGCGGUGAAAUGCGCAGAUAUCAGGAAGAACACCGGUGGCGAAGGCGGGUCUCUGGGCCGAUACUGACGCUGGAGGAGCG
rnacentral:rRNA from 1 species